ensembl:ncRNA asRNA:CR45800 antisense RNA:CR45800
UAUGUGGCAUGCAUAUUGCACUAUUCCUCAAUGGCUGCUUGACUGGCUGGCUGGCUGGCUGCGGACCUGGAUCGCGUUGCGAUCUGGAUCUGAAGUGGGUCUAGCAGGUGUGCACCCGCAGGUGGUUUUGCAGUGUGCUUUUUUGCCGGAACUGUUUAGGACAAAAGGAACAGUUGUAGGGCUUUUCACCGGUGUGGAUCUUCAUGUGGUUGUUCAGCGUGGCCACCUGCCGGAAGUUGACCUCACAGAUCUUGCACUUGUAGGGCUUCUCUCCGGUGUGCGUCUUGAUGUGAUUUACCAAGGUGCUCUGCUGUGAGAAGAACCGCUGGCAGACGCUGCAGCCAAACGGCCGGUCCGGAUUGUCGCCCUUCAGCAUGUUGAUGGUGCCCACUACGGUCAUCCGGCCCGACGGCGAGCCGCCCGCCUGGAAAUGCUCCACCUUGGUGUUGGCCGCCGCCGUGGCCACUACCGAGCUGACCGUGGUGCUGCCGUCGAGGAAAUGCAGUAGCGGAUGGUGGUCCAGCUGGAUGAUGUUCGCCGUGCUACCGUGCAGGUUGUUCGGCAACAGGCCACUGGUCAGCUGCUGCGUCCCGGGCGCCAGAGGAGCGGGCAUUGAGUGAUCCACUGCAGAUUGACGGUACGGAGUUGGAUUGUUGGAUGAUUUGUUGAAGUUAGCAUGCGUACAAGAUUUAAAUAAAAGCUUCGUUAGGGAAGAGCGUUAAUAAUCAAUGC